CAGCCGCCGCGGGAAUACGAGGGGGGCAAGCGUUGUUCGGAAUUAUUGGGCGUAAAGGGUGCGUAGGCGGCUUGACAAGUCUUGUGCGAAAUCUAUGGGCUCAACCCAUAGUCUGCACGGGAAACUGUCGGGCUUGAGAAUGGGAGAGGUGAGUGGAAUUUCCGGUGUAGCGGUGAAAUGCGUAGAUAUCGGGAGGAACACCAGUGGCGAAGGCGAUCACCUGGGGUUGUUCUGACGCUGAGGAGCGAAAGCUAGGGGAGCGAACAGGAUUAGAUACCCGUGUAGUCCCUGUCUCUUAUAA
rnacentral:rRNA from 1 species